UUCCUCCUCUCCUCCAUCAAAGCUCUUCCCUUUCUCUCUUUCCAUCAAGCCAAUGCCUAAGUUUCUUUCCAAGCUGCUGCCUCCAUUUUUCUUUCUUUCUUCUUCAUAAGUUUAGGGGAGGUACUAACUCUAACGCAAUAUCAUAUCCUUUCAUAGAUCCAUUCUCCACAUCCAAAAAAGUCUAGGAGAGGUCCUAACCCUAGCACGCCUUCUAUCAAAUCUAAGAGAGGUCCUAAUCCUAGUAUCGCUAUCCUUUCCAUAUUUUCAUACCCUCUUCCAUCUACCUUUCUUCCUUGGAGUUCCUAGACCAAGCCUUCCAGCCAUCUUACCGCUGUCUGCAUGGAGGAAGACG
rnacentral:lncRNA from 1 species